UUUCUCCGCCGUUUCUCUUCCCCGCGUGCCCUAACCUCCCUCCUCGCGUCGAGCCGCCGAAUCCUUGCCAAAAUCGCACACGGGCGGUUUCUGCUUUCAUUUUCUUCUUCCCUAUUGCGUCGCUCCUCCUCUUCCCCAAGCGCCGGCGAUGAUCUGCCACCGCCGACCCACUAUUGCCCUUCUAUAGCGUCACUCCGCCGGCUGCCAUCACCACUGUGCCUGCCGUCGCCUGUGCCCUAACGCCGGUCUCACCUUCACAUCCUUCCCGGAGCCGAGCCCUAGCUCGAUUCAUCACCCCGCCGUCCGCCUACCUCUCAUCAUUGCCCGACGAUGCCACCGGCGCCGUUGCCCCUCGCCAUGGAGAUCCCAAUGGCGCCGCCGACACUCCCCUGUGCCCUAGCAUCCUCUGCCCUUCUUUUGGUUGUCCCAGAGAUCCCCAAAUCGUGCUAAGCAGCAUCGCGUCAUCUCCUCCUUGCGGCGAUUGACAUCUGGGCAGCGUUUCCCCUCACCGGAGCAGUGGGGUUGCCGUGCUUGUUGUGCCCUAGCCGGAGUCGCCCGUGCCCUAGUCUUGCGUACACACUGCCUUCCAUUCGAUCGCUGUGGAAACAAUUGCUGCGGGGGGCUGCCGUCACCAGAAGGGAGGAGUUGCCAAAGGAAAUUAGGGAUCUCCUACUGACCUCAUCCCUCUGUCCUUGCUCACACUCAUAGAGCUAAGCUUCCCUCACACUCCUUGUGGCCGGGUUCGAGGUAAUCACCAGCCCUGACUACUGAUUUAGCUUCACCAGUUUCAGCUACUGUUGCUUGCUGUCAUCGUCGGAGAAGAAGGUCAGGAUUAUUACAGGAUUCAGAUUCAGGACGAGCACAUCGACAUAGAGGUUGAUUAGCUCGAUCUACAUUGGAGGCGGGUUGAUGCUGUCAGGAGAGAGUUCCAGUUGCUGGUCCCC